GUUGAUAUUGCUAAGUUCGCAUUUUGAUUCUUGAGCAUCUAUGGUUCUAAGUUCUUGACUAUCUAUUGGGGUUGGUUUAUAUGAUGUAAAGCAUGAUGUUGGGUGUUGAGGCAAUUACCUAUUGAAGCUGCGGCUGCUUUGAGAAUUCAGCUCUUAAAACCUCAUCUUUCUUCCACUCAAACUUGCUGUGUUGCUGGAAAAAUUUGAAGGGGUGCAGGUGGUUGCUUGAUUCAGGCAGAUUUGGUGCAGCUGCCAUUUUGGGAUCAUUUUGACCUCCUUUGAUAAAGUUGUACCCAUAGGAGAAAGAGUUAUUGGGCUGUUAUUGGGCUGACCUUCGGGCCGACGGGCCAAACUCUCGGGCUGCGCAAGGUGUGACUCGGGCUUAAGAAGAGAGGCCCAACAUUUGCAUAUUUGUAUUCUUUAAUUCUUUCUCAUCAACACGUGUGUAAAUUAUUUUGUAACUAGAGAGUAGCUUGAUAUGUAUUCGAACUUUCUGGAUCAGCAAAGUAACCUCGUAUUCUUUCUUGACGUUUAUUAUAUUUAAUUUAAUAC